CCCUAGCCCAGAUUGCAGAGAAAAUCCUUUUUUGAAAAAAAAGAUUGUAACGGAAAGCUGGAAAUUGC
rfam:Chryseobacterium sp. IHB B 10212 strain IHBB 10212, complete genome.